UCGGGGGGGUGCUAUAAUGCAGUCGAGCGAUCUUUGGGAGCUUGCUCCCAUUGGUUAGCGGCGGACGGGUGAGUAACACGUGGGCAACCUGCCUGUAAGACUGGGAUAACUUCGGGAAACCGGAGCUAAUACCGGAUAAUCCUUUUCCUCUCAUGAGGAAAAGCUGAAAGUCGGUUUCGGCUGACACUUACAGAUGGGCCCGCGGCGCAUUAGCUAGUUGGUGAGGUAACGGCUCACCAAGGCGACGAUGCGUAGCCGACCUGAGAGGGUGAUCGGCCACACUGGGACUGAGACACGGCCCAGACUCCUACGGGAGGCAGCAGUAGGGAAUCUUCCACAAUGGACGAAAGUCUGAUGGAGCAACGCCGCGUGAACGAUGAAGGCCUUCGGGUCGUAAAGUUCUGUUGUUAGGGAAGAACAAGUAUCGGAGUAACUGCCGGUACCUUGACGGUACCUAACCAGAAAGCCACGGCUAACUACGUGCCAGCAGCCGCGGUAAUACGUAGGUGGCAAGCGUUGUCCGGAAUUAUUGGGCGUAAAGCGCGCGCAGGCGGUCCUUUAAGUCUGAUGUGAAAGCCCACGGCUCAACCGUGGAGGGUCAUUGGAAACUGGGGGACUUGAGUGCAGAAGAGGAAAGCGGAAUUCCACGUGUAGCGGUGAAAUGCGUAGAGAUGUGGAGGAACACCAGUGGCGAAGGCGGCUUUCUGGUCUGUAACUGACGCUGAGGCGCGAAAGCGUGGGGAGCAAACAGGAUUAGAUACCCUGGUAGUCCACGCCGUAAACGAUGAGUGCUAAGUGUUAGGGGGUUUCCGCCCCUUAGUGCUGCAGCUAACGCAUUAAGCACUCCGCCUGGGGAGUACGGCCGCAAGGCUGAAACUCAAAGGAAUUGACGGGGGCCCGCACAAGCGGUGGAGCAUGUGUUUAAUUCGAAGCAACGCGAAGAACCUUACCAGGUCUUGACAUCCUCUGACACUCCUAGAGAUAGGACGUUCCCUUCGGGGACAGAGUGACAGGUGGUGCAUGGUGUCGUCAGCUCGUGUCGUGAGAUG
rnacentral:rRNA from 2 species